ACGCCGUGACUGCGCCACAUUGCAGGUUUGAGGGUACACCCCUCGACACGGCGU
rnacentral:ncRNA from 2 species